rnacentral:rRNA from 1 species
UACGGGGGGGGGCGAGCGUUGUUCGGAAUCACUGGGCGUAAAGGGCGCGUAGGCGGCCCGCACAAGUCUGCGGUGAAAACCCCCGGCUUAACCGGGGGCCGGCCGUGGAAACUGUCGGGCUGGAGGCUGGGAGAGGGCAGCGGAAUUCCCGGUGUAGCGGUGAAAUGCGUAGAGAUCGGGAGGAACACCGGCGGCGAAGGCGGCUUCUUGGCCUGUUCUUGACGCUGAGGCGCGAAAGCUGGGGGAGCAAACGGGG